rnacentral:rRNA from 1 species
CCUACGGGCGGCUGCAGUGAGGAAUAUUGGUCAAUGGACGAGAGUCUGAACCAGCCAAGUAGCGUGAAGGAUGACUGCCCUAUGGGUUGUAAACUUCUUUUAUAAAGGAAUAAAACGAGGCACGUGUGCCUUUUUGCAUGUACUUUAUGAAUAAGGAUCGGCUAACUCCGUGCCAGCAGCCGCGGUAAUACGGAGGAUCCGAGCGUUAUCCGGAUGUAUUGGGUUUAAAGGGAGCGUAGAUGGGUUGUUAAGUCAGUUGUGAAAGUUUGCGGCUCAACCGUAAAAUUGCAAUUGAUACUGGCAGUCUUGAGUACAGUUGAGGUAAGCGGAAUUCGUGGUGUAGCGGUGAAAUGCUUAGAUAUCACGAAGAACCCCGAUUGCGAAGGCAGCUUACUAAACUGUGACUGACAUUGAUGCUCGAAAGUGUGGGUAUCAAACAGGAUUAGAUACCCUAGUAGUC